rnacentral:rRNA from 1 species
UACGGGGGGGGGCAAGCGUUGUUCGGAAUUACUGGGCGUAAAGGGCUCGUAGGUGGCCAACUAAGUCAGACGUGAAAUCCCUCAGCUUAACUGGGGAACUGCGUCUGAUACUGGAUGGCUUGAGUUUGGGAGAGGGAUGCGGAAUUCCAGGUGUAGCGGUGAAAUGCGUAGAUAUCUGGAGGAACACCGGUGGCGAAGGCGGCAUCCUGGACCAACACUGACACUGAGGAGCGAAAGCCAGGGGAGCGAAACAGGG